rnacentral:misc_RNA from 1 species
AAGUCGUAACAAGGUUUCCGUAGGUGAACCUGCGGAAGGAUCAUUAAAGAAUACCUGGACUCCGGUCCUCGUCGAGAAAGGUCGUCCCGGGUGGCCUCCAGGUCCCCGGGGGCUUCCCCCCUCUUACCCUCUGUUUACUCUACCUCUGUUUCGUUGCAUUGCACACGCUUCGUCCGGUGCCUGGUCGGGUCCGGCUUUGGGCUCUGCCGGAGGGCCCCAACUCGUGGAUAGUCUAUGUUUGUCUGAGUACGAUAUAAUCGUUUACAAC